rfam:Otolemur garnettii contig132875, whole genome shotgun sequence.
GGCUGGUCUAAGUGUAGUGGUGUUUACAACUAAUUCAUCACAACCAGUUACAGAUUCCUUUGUUUCUUCUUCCCUUCUACUACUUCACUUGAGUGAUAAUU